GGUAAUUCGCAUUUCUAUAAAGAGUGGAAAACUAUUGAAAUAAUUAUAUAUAUUAUGUAAAUUGCUCCAGAAGAAUAAUUAAAAGAAAUGUUUUCUUUUCAUAUAUUAUUUGUUGAUGCAUCUGUCAUUUUUUUAGACACUUUUUUUUUUAAUUUAGGUCCAUCUAUUUAGAAAAUAACAGAAUGAAAUAAACAGCAUAAAACAACAAAGUAAGUCACAGGCCACCUCAAUAAUAACACAUAGCAAAACAGCAAUUUCUAAACAUCAAAACACCGAACUCAAAAAUUAAAAACAUAAAAAAACCUGACCAGUUUUUUCGGAUAGUUAAUUAAUUUCCGGAAAAUGUCGUCCUAUUGCCGGCGAUAAGAAAGUUCGGAACAAAUUAUACUUCUAUCUAACCAUUAUCCAGACAAAAAAAAGCAACUACUGAAGAAUCUAUUCAGGCACCAUAUGACAGGAAUAAAGUCGGAGCAGAAUAAGAAAAAAAUUAACUACAGCAGGCCAGUUAAAAAUCUGCCAUAUGAAUUAAUAUUCAUUAGUUUAUAAUCUAUGUACACUUGGUUAUGAAGUAAAUAUGUGGAGCAGAAUUUGGUUGCACGGUGGAAAAAUAUUUGGUUUAAUUCAAAAAUUAAUCUCUCAACUUUAAAAAAAUUGAAAUCUUAGUUUUGCCAUUUUAAUUAAUAACAAUAUGAUCAUUCUGCUUUUACCAAAACUGAAAAAUUUGUCCCUAAACUAUUAAGUUUUGGUGAUUGGCUUAAAUGAAAAAAUGCCCCUAAAGCUACAGCCUUUUUUGCAUUAUGAAUAAUGCAACGGUAACAUUUAUGGUAAUUAAAACCUUCUUUAAAUCACUACUACUGUUUUGGACAAAUUAACAGAGAGAAGUAAAAAAACCUUAAAAAUUUAAAUUAUAUUAAAUUUUUUUAAACUUAUUUAAUUUUAAAACAAUUGCUUCAAAAUUAAACAGUUAUGUUCAAAAAUAUUUUACUAAUCUUUUUAAAAUUAAAUACUAUCAAAAGAAAACUGGACAUAAAAACAGCUCAAACGCAUUCCAAAACAACCCAACCCAAAACACUAAAAAAAUGAAAACAAAACCAAAUACGUGGCCCGAGCAAAAAGAUGGAUCACAAACCAGUAUGCAAAAAGAGAACACAGAUUUAUAGACUUUCACAAUAGAAGCAACUUACUGUCCAUUUGCAAAUAGGGUCAGACAGCCUCCAAGCGGGAUAAAAGCCCAAAAAGCCAUAAACUAAGGAGGGCACAGGCCCAAACGCCAAAACAGAAGCCCUAAAAGAGAAACCGAAACAGUAUUUAGCGAAGAAAAAAAUAAAAGGAAAUUAAAGUAGACGGAAACAAACAAAUUGAAGGAAAAAAAAGAACAUAUAGUACAAGAUAAAGAACCAAAAAGUACCACACCGAGAUCCAUAAUUUCAACGGAACAUAACAGUGACUCUUUGAAUAAGAAAACAGGAAACCCUGGCAAAAGUCCACUGAAAAGAUUAGUAGAAAGAAGCAUAUAUUUGAAACUAAAAACAGAGAUGAAAAGGAAAGAAACAAAGUUAAAUACAUAUUCAUCCAUGAAAUGAAUCUCCAAUGAAUUAGGGGAUUUCAAAAAUCACAAAUAACAGAAACGAUAAACAAAACUUAGGGUUUCUCUACCUAAUGUACCGUAUUUGUGUGUGUGAAGAAAGAAACGACAACAAAGGAGGCUGGGAGAAAGAAAACAGGACAGAAGGAAAAUAUUUGAAAAGAAUGGAAAAAACAGUAGUUAAGAAAGGAGAAAGGAACGUUUAGGGUUUAGGUAGAUAAUAGAUCAAACCUUUUCUAACCCAAUAGCGGAGUGGAUUUUUUUGUGAUCAAAUAAAAAUCAAACGGCAAAACUGAGUUGAAACAACUGACUAACGAACAUUAGAAUUCAUCCAGUUUGAUAGUUUGGAGCGAAAAAGGCAGUCAGAGGACCAUAUGAGUGCACCAACACUCGGUACAUGUGACAUGCACGCAUCUUAUAUGGGUAUGUUUGACUUUUUUUUUUGGUAAGUUUUUCUCUAUAUUAACCCAACUCUUCAUUUUGCCUAAAUAACUAUCGUGUCUGAAUUCAUCUCCAACACAUGCUCAGACAUGGGCAUCGAGAUAUAAUCCUCCAAAAGUCCUCCAAAUACAUGCGAUCCUAGAAAAAACUGAAAAUACUCAGGUCAGAUGCCUAUGUCCAAUACUUACACCGAAGUCCAAGUAACAUAACCUUUCAUGUAUUUGGAGGGUCAUAUGCUAUACCCACGUCCGGGAAUGUGUUGAACAUGGAUACUUUAAGAAAAAUGAAAAUUAAAGCAACACAGGAUGAUAGUUUUUAAUUUGCUUUAUUCAGUUUGGUCAAUUCCACAGGCUGCUAGACUAGUCACCAUAUUCUGCAGAAAGCAUUAUCAGCAUAACCCUAUUGUCAAACGAAUUCCCUGAUAAGCAGAACCAUGUUUAACCUUGAAUGUACAUUUAACAGAAUUUUAACAAUUUAUACAAAGGCACAAUUGCUUAAACAAUUUCAUUAGAAAUGAAGUAUGUGGUCUUAGUUGAACUUUAGGCAUUAUAUCCAUAAAAGAAAUAUGGGAAUCACGUUAAACUGUCAUCUAAAAUCCCCAUUUAUCUCAAGUUUUAGGGCAUUAAAGAAUGAAUUUAAGCCAUGGGAGAGUGCAUAACAACAUAAAGCAUUAACAAGGAAUCUGCAGAAUUCAACUUUAGUUUCACAAAAAUUGCCAUCACCUCAUAAAUCUCUUCAACUCCGUGUAUGCCAAGCUGAUCCUUAUGAAUGAAAAUACUAUUAAUUUAAUAGCAUUGGGGCUUGAAGAUAUCCGCUUUUGAAUUCCACUGCAAGGUAAUCCAAAAAUAUUUUAAAAGCAGCAUUUAGAAUCAAAUAGUUUCCAUUCACAAUAAGUUUAACCAGAGAUCUGUCAUAGCAGUAUAAUUAGCAUUUAAUUUGGAUAAUUUAAACAUGAAGAUCAAUCCAACAUACAGAAUGAGAAAGAGAACAUUUAUCACAAAAGAAAGUUAUUUUGAUUCAUCGGAGUAAGUAAAAUCUUUAAUCAAUUAAUCAUGCAUGGCUCAACCAUCUAGAACUAAUCUAAAAUUAAAAUGUGUAACUCUCGUAUCUAAAAAAUGAACAUCAAUACUAGGGGUAAAAACCAGAUACAUGUGCGCAUAAGUCACUUGGAUUCGGCUACAAGUAAAACUCAAAUCAAUUCAGUCAUUGUCAAGUUGAACUCAAGCUUGAUAACCUUACUCGGAUUUGGCAAAGAGAAGGAAAUAAAAAAACUCAAAUAAAUUCAAGUGAAAAGCAUGUAUCAAAAACUAAAAAACAGAGAUGUUCCCAUAAAAAAAACAUAGUUAGGGGGAUUGCAUAAAUCAUAAAAAACAGAAACAGAGGAGAAAACUUAGGAUUUGUACCUCGAAAAAGUACACAGGAAACAAACAAAAAGAACAAACAGAUCGAGAUCAAUAGAUUUGAAACACGAAACGAAACAGUGAUGUCUAAACCUGAAAACCAAAAACCAUAAAAUAGAAAUGAAAAGGCAAAAGACAAAAACAAAAACAAAGACAAAGGCAAAGAAAUGAAAAAGCAAACCCAAGUAAAGAUUCAUACCUGAAAUUAGUCUCCGAAAAAGCAACCAAAAAGAAACAGACAGGACCCAUAUCGACAGAUUUCAAACACAGAGCGAAACAGUGAAUUGUAAACCUGAAAACCAAAAUCCCCAUUUAUGUUUUAUUUUUUUCUUUACAUUUUAUUAACUGCUUACAAAAACUCUCUUAAAGUCACAUUAAUACCAAAGCACAUACAUAGAUCCUUUCCUUUGAUCCAAUUAAGGAACUUAGCAAGAAAAGAUAGUUACUUAAACAAUUUAUACAAAGGCACAAUUGCUUAAACAAUUUCACCAGAAAUGAAGUUAUGUGGUCUUAGUUGAACUUUUAAGCAUAAUGUUCAUAAAAGAAAUGUGGGUAUCAGGUUAAACUGGCAUCUAAUCCCCAUUUAUCUCAAGUUUUAGGGCAAUAAAUAAUGAAUUUAAGCCAUGGGAGAGUGCAUAUGAACAUUAAAAUUGAAAAGAAAAGAUAUUGGGAUAAGAACAUUACCGUGCAAUACGAUGAAGGGAAUAGCGUGUCUAUUUGGGAUAAGAAUCAAUGUAAUAGAGAUUGACUGCAAAAGAGAGGCCAUUGCUGGUGAAAUCUGGCAGAGCCAGAGUUUCUUUCUUUCCCAAAGCAUCCAACAAGAACAACCACAAAGACAUCCAUAGAUUUGAAAAGACGAACCGAAACAAUAUUUCCUAGGGCUGAAAACCCAAAAUCUAUGGAUGAAGCAAGUGAUUUCCAUAUCAGAAAAUAAAACAGAAACGAUUGAGAAGGAAGAGAAGAAAACGGAUGAGAGAGGAAAAAUUUGAAGAGAAAGAGAUGGUGAAGAAUUGGGAAAGUGAAGGAGAGAGGAUUUAAAUUUCCAACUAUGGGAAAGGAAGGGGAUUUGAAAAGACUGAUGAAAACGGGCAGAGGGGCUCUUCUCCUGUCAACGGUAACUAGCUAUUUAAUAUACUCAUUUAAUAAAGUGAUAAUUGAGUUGUUUAGCUUUCAAAAUUUUAUUUAAUACACUUAGGGCACGUUUGGUUCGCUGUAUUGGAUUAGAGGUGUAUUGGAUUAGAGGUGUAAUGGAAUAGAGGUGUAAUAGCAAAUCAACUGUUUGGUUGAAUGUAAUGGAAUAGAGGCGUAAUAGUAAAACUGUGUUUGGUUGAAUGUAAUAGAGGUGUAAUAGCAUAAUGGAGAAAACUAAAAUGACCAGAAUACCCUUAGCAUAAAUUUAUUUUGGUAAAUGAUUAUUGUUAUUGUUAUUUAAAUUUUAAUAAGAUUAUUUAUUAUCAAAAAUAAAUAAUUUAAUCAUAUUUAAACAUAAUUAUUAUUAAAUAUAUUAAAUAUAUUAUAAUUAAAAUAUAUAAUUUAAUAAAAUUCUUAAUAAUUAAUAUUCUUAUAUGAAUUUACUCAAAUCAUAAUAUAUGAUACUAUAAAAGAUAAUUUGAAAUGAUUAAUAUUAAAUAUAUUUUAAUUAAAAUAUAUGAUUUAAUAAAAUUUAAAAUAAUUAUAACUAAUAAAUUAUCUUAUAUGAAUUUGUAUAAUUUAAAAUAAUUAUUAUUACAUAUAAUUUAAUAAGAUAUAAUUUCAUAAAAUUAUUGAUAAUAAAUUUUCUUAUAUGAAUUUAUAUAAUUUAAAAUAAUUUAUAUAAUAAAUCUAUUGUAUAACUUUCUCAAAGAGGUUCUUUCAUCGUCGGGCAUGGGUGUUGAAACCAAAUACUUUAAGAAAAAUGAAUACUCUGACAGGGGUAUAAAAAAGGGAUACUUCAAGCAAAAUGAAGAGUCGGAGAAACAUAGCUCUGUAUAUUCUCUCAGUUGCUAUAUUUUUUGGUUUUCUUACCUUAUUCUCUGAAUUUUCUUCCUCAAUGAGGUUCUUUUUUAUUUUUUGAUUUUAGCUUUGCCCCUAUGGCAUGAACCUUGUGAUGAAUUAAAAAAUUAAAGAAAUAUAUAAAAAUGGAUAAAAUUACAAUGAAUCAUUACUCCAAAGUUAUAAACUAGUUAUUCUAAUAUGAUAUUAAAAUGCCAAGAGUGCAAAACAAAUAAUUUUCCAAGGAUACCAAAUCAAAAGGGACUUAAAAGGCCAACUAGACAGAGAAAUUCAAGCAGAUGCAUCGCCGUAUUUCAUCAUUGAUAUGUUGCAUUUUGGAUCAUAAUUCAAAUUCAACUACAAAUUAUAGGUUAAUGGGUUUGAAGCAGCACCAACAACUGUAGCCAUGGGAUUCGACAAAUUGGGAGCAGCAAGAAUUGCAGUAGUGGUGUUUGAUGGAACUGUAGUUCCUACAUUCAAACAAGUUCAGUCAGUUAAGUAUCUAGCAUUUCAAUAUGAUUCAACAAGCAUACAACUAUGAUAAAGAGGAGUUACUCUUAGCAACUAGGAAAAAUAUGACAUAAAAAGACAUCAACUUAUUUUUCCCAUGAAGCAAAAAAAGAACAUCUUAACACCAUACAUCAAUGGCAAGCAAGACCAAGUCAUUUUGCCUCUAUAUUAAUGGAUUUUCUAGCAGCAAUCUGAAACACAACUCCAUAAGUUAAGCUAUCAUAAAGAUACAAUUAUGGCUAUAAUAGUGGACCUUUAUAAACUUUAAAAUAUAGCAGCCAAGUACAUUGAAUAAUAAACUUGAGCAAAAGGCUGCAGAAGAAAAAAGCAAACUGAUUUCUAUGAUAGAGAAAUCAAUGCCCGUAUUGAUAAAGAGAAGGCCAACAACCACAAUAAUAAAGAGACAUUUAAGCCAUCUAAGAAAAAACAUAAGCAUCCAUGUUAAUCAGAUUCACCAUUUUGACCAUGCAACAACUUAUAGAAAGAUAUAGAAAAAAACGCUUAUGAAAACAACUAAACAUGAAAAAAUACCUGCAUAUAUCGCACAACAGUACUAGUAUAAUCAACAGCUCUCCUUUGGGUCAGCCUUCUCAUUCUUUUCGCAGCAAAUUUGUCACCAUAAGCUGAAAGAAGUAUUUAAUAGAAAAAAUAAAAGAAUUUUGUCAGAACUAAAAUUUAGAUAGCCUAACUUUCCAAUCAUUUCAAAGGAAAACCGUAAACUCAACAAUUUCAAGGAUUAAACUGUAGGGGUUUUAAGCAUUUUAACCAUCUACUUUGAGGCCAAGGAAGUAUACAGCAGUAAAAUUUUGCAAUUUUCUCUCAAGGUCUGCACAUAUGUUCUAUGCUUAUAAUCAGAUUUCCUUCUAAAAGUGACAAACAAUCCAAACUAGAAACACAGUCUAAUUUGAAGUAGAAAUCUAUUAGACUGUUGUACCAACGACGAUUUAGCACCAAAACUUAAGAUCAUAGUCAAAUAUGGUUCAAUGACAAAUAUAUAAUUGCAAAAUCAUCACAUCAAUGUCUCCUUUCACAUCCUCUUCAACUGUCAUUACAAUUUCUUCAAACAAGAUGUUCCAGAACCAAACAUCCAUUACUCAUCAUCAUUGGUUUUUCAACAAAAAAAAAAACAUAAACAGAUCAAUAAAAGUAAAUGCAUUGAAUUUCUCCAGUAAACUGCAUCAUCAUCCCACACGGGAGCAACUUCCUCUUUCUUACACUCCCACAAGAGGGACCCUAAAUACUCCCUACAAUCUUCAGCACUGUCGAUAAAAUCACAGAAAUUUACUUAAGAGCAUGAGUCAAAACACUCUUGAAACUGCUUGUGCUCCAUGCAAUAAACUAUAGCUCAACAAACAACCCAAUUUACCUUGUAUUAUUAUCGAAGAAACCGACAGUGAUACUCUGAUUAGCAACUGCCAAUUUGUGUUCAGCAGAAGCUCUGACUUGUUCUUCAACAGUUUGAACCUUAUCAAAGAAAAUAUAAUCAAACACAAUUCAAGGUAAAACAAAAUGGUACGCAACAGAAAACACUACUUAAUGAUUAGGAACAUACUAUUUCAAAACGUAAAACAAGUACAUCCUUCUUCUGGCCUAGCCUAUGAGCUCUUGCUUGUGCUUCAAAUCGAGACAGAGAAUAAUCGUCGUUUCGCAUCCAUUCUGAGUUAUCAAUGCAUAUCAUGGUAGCCUAAUUGACCGAUUUGAAAAUUGAAAACCAAAAAAGAAAAAUCAACAAAACCCUUUUGAGUAACGAAAAAAGAAGAAAAAAAAUACUAAAAUAAUUGAUAAUUUAGAAGAAGGAGAUCAAAAGAGGAAUCUAAAAUUGAAUAGCUUACCUCGAGAACCAUGGCUAAAAAACCGACAAAAAACACAUAAUAGAAAUGUUAAAAAGAAUGGAAAAAUCAAAGAAAAAACGCUUCACUCUUCCUUCAAUGGAUUAAGCUAGAAUUUCCAAUUUUGUGAAUAUAUUGAAGAGAAAAAGAGAGGGUUUUGGUGUGCGGAGCAGAUAGUGUUGGGAGGAAAUGGGGAAGGGAAAUUUGAUGCCGAGACGAGAAGAAACGAUGACGACAGAUUAAUCAACGGAAUCAGUGGGAAAUGGGAGGAGAAAAUGAUUAGGACGGAAGAGGAGAGGGUCGGGUAGGGAGGGAGGGUAAAACAGAGAGAUGGGGAGGGAGGCCAGGCGUAAUGGCUAAUACAACGAUUUGGGAACGGAUUGUAAAACACGAGAAUUUGGGGAUUAGGGGCGUAAUGUAAUACGCGCGUAAUGGCUAAUACAGCGAACCAAACGCCGGAUUAGGGGCGUAAUGUAAUACGCGCGUAAUCGAGGCGUAAUGGAUUGGGUAAUACGGCGAACCAAACACGCUUAUUUUUAAUAUUCUCAGUCUGAAUAUAUUUAUUUUUAAAAUAGUACUAUAUCAAAUAUAUAAAGGGUCAAAAAAGUUUAUGUUUAUGUUCAUUAUGGUUUGUCUGUUUGUUGGGAGCUGUUUAGUGUUUUUUGUAAGGAGUUUGGCCAGGCGAUCUGUUAGUGUUUCAUGGUGGUCUCUACCUUAUUAAUAAAUGUCAAUUUCUCUGAGCAAAAAAUAAAUAAUAAUAAAGUCUUGCCUUGACCCAUGCAACAUCAAAUAUCACAUAUAUGCUCUGCCGCCUGCCGUCAAGUUUUUGACCAUGGAACAUUAUACAGUACUCUGAAUAUUGACCAUGGCAUUGAACACAUAUAUUAUAUUAUAUGCUGUCAUGAAUGGGGGGGGGUCUCCAGGUGUUUUAUAGGCUUUGAUGAAGCUGGAACUUAGAGACAUGGGCAGAGAAAUAGGUUAGUAGCCAAUCAUUAAUCAAGAUUUGAAAAAGGACGAUAUUAUUAAUAAAUGAAUUUGCGCAACCACAACCAUAUGAUUAGCUGCAGAUACCGCCACACCAUUCACCCUAACAAGGAUAAUAAAUAUCUGAAGCUCUCAAUUAGCUGCUUUUGAUAUUAACUUCUUGAUCGACCAUUACUGAGUGGUCAACAAACUUCAACUUUACCCCAACCGAAAGUUACGUUUCAAUUCUAGCAAAGGGAAUCAAUUAUAGGAAUCUAAGGUCUUCCCACGGUAGAUUAUACCUUCCCUUUUAUUGUCAAUAAAUCAAAUAUUAAACCAAUUAAUCCAACAUGACUUCUCAAAUCAUGUGUCAAAGGAAUGUAGCCUCUUUUUUUUUUUUACUUAAAACUCCGACAGGAAAAGGUUCACAUUACGAGACAGAGCAGAUGCAUCAGAGCCUCUAUUGAUGAUUUUCAGUAUUUACAUAAGACAUGAAAAAGACUACCACCCACACUUCAACUUAGUAUCCUUGUAUAUCUGAAAAUGAAAUAUUAAAUCCCAUCUUCAAAAUAAAUAAGUUUGGGGCCAUAAAAAUUACAGUGGAUGUUCCUUGAUGUAUGUAUGUAUUUAUGUAUGUAUGUAGUCAUACAUUUGCCACACACCAAAUCUGGAC
rnacentral:lncRNA from 1 species